rnacentral:sRNA from 1 species
UCCGUUUGCCUUCGGCAGUUGGUUCUA